CACGUAGGGCGCGAGCGUUGUCCGGAAUUAUUGGGCGUAAAGAGCUCGUAGGCGGCCUGUUGCGUCCGCUGUGAAAGCCCGGGGCUUAACCCCGGGUCUGCAGUGGAUACGGGCAGGCUAGAGGUAGGUAGGGGAGAAUGGAAUUCCCGGUGUAGCGGUGAAAUGCGUAGAUAUCGGGAGGAAUACCUAUGGCGAAAGCAGGUUUCUGGGCCAUCACUGACGCUGAGCUGCGAAAGCUAGGGGAGCAAACAGG
rnacentral:rRNA from 1 species